rnacentral:rRNA from 1 species
UACGUAGGUGGCAAGCGAUACUCGGAAUCACUAGGCGUAAAGCGCAGGUAGGCGGUGCGAUAAGUCUCUUGUGAAAGCUCCCGGCUUAACUGGGAGAGGUCAAGGGAAACUGUCGUGCUCGAGUGUGGCAGAGGAAACUAGAAUUCCCGGUGUAGCGGUGAAAUGCGUUGAUAUCGGGAGGAAUAUCUAUGGCGAAAGCAGGUUUCUGGGCCGUCACUGACGCUGAUCUGCGAAAGCUAGGGGAGCAAACAGG